GAUGAACGCUGGCGGCGUGCCUAAUACAUGCAAGUCGAGCGAACAGACGAGGAGCUUGCUCCUCUGACGUUAGCGGCGGACGGGUGAGUAACACGUGGAUAACCUACCUAUAAGACUGGGAUAACUUCGGGAAACCGGAGCUAAUACCGGAUAACAUGUUGAACCGCAUGGUUCAACAGUGAAAGACGGUCUUGCUGUCGCUUAUAGAUGGAUCCGCGCCGCAUUAGCUAGUUGGUAAGGUAACGGCUUACCAAGGCAACGAUGCGUAGCCGACCUGAGAGGGGGGUAGGCCGCAUGGGAACGGGACCGCGGUCAAUGGGACUCAGGGAGGGCACAGAAGGGAAUGUGACGCAGUAGGGGAAAGCAUGGCAGAACAGCGCGACGUGAGAGGAAAAGAUCUUCUGAUCGGAAAACUGUGUUAUUAGGGAAAAACAAAUGUGUAAGUAACUAUGCACGUCUUGACGGUACCUAGUAAGAAAGCCACGGCUAACUACGUG
rnacentral:rRNA from 1 species